rnacentral:rRNA from 1 species
AGCCGCCGCGGUAAUUCGAAGGGUGCGAGCGUUAUUCGGAUUUACUGGGCGUAAAGGGCGCGUAGGCGGCUUUUUAAGUCACUUGUUAAAGACCACUUAAAUCGGUGGAGAUGCGGGUGAAACUGGAGAGCUAGAGGGUAGGAGAGAGAAGUGGAAUUCUUGGAGUAGCGGUAAAAUGCGUAGAUCUCAAGAGGAACACCGAUGGCGAAGGCAGCUUCUUGGCCUACUACUGACGCUGAGGCGCGAAAGCGUGGGGAGCAAACAGGAUUAGAUACCCUGGUAGUCCACGCUGUAAACGAUGAUCACUAGAUGUCAGCUUCCCUUGAGGAGGUUGGUAUCGUAGCUAACGCGAUAAGUGAUCCGCCUGGGGAGUACGGUCGCAAGACUAAAACUUAAAUGAAUUGACGG